ensembl:lncRNA
AAUGCCAAUGUCGAGUGGGAAGCAAAGAGAGAGUGUCGUGAUGUGGCUCUGGAGACAUUGCUUGUUAGUCUCCCAAGGACAAAAAGCACCUGUCCUGCAUCACUGAGGAAACACAAUUGGAAACUACUCUUUAAAGAAGGUGGGAGAGGAGCCGCCAAGAUGCUCAGCAGGCCUCAUACAUGCUGACCAGCAAGGAAAGUGAGCCACCCUGUUUGCACCUGGCUAUGUAGAAGCAAAAGGAUUCAGGACCUAAGUUCGAGGCCGAGCACCCAGGUCGGGUGGCUCACCACUUGCAGCUUCUUCUAGGCACAGACCUUUAAUCCCCACGCCAGGGAGGCAGAAGCAGGUAGAUUUCGAAUUGCAGUGCUCUGCUCCAUCUUCUCUGGAGGCUACGGCAGCUACAGAGGCUACAGAGGAGUGAUCUGCAAUCGAAACCUCCACCACUGUAGCUGAGUUGCACCGAGAAUGCCACUUGUGGUGGUGAAAGUCACAUGGGAUGCUGGGAUGAACCGGGAAGGUGACCUCGGGACAUACCCAUACCACAGAGGGAGCAGGUGUUUACUGAAAAUGGAGGAGACCUGGGACUUGGUAGCCGUGUGCCGCCCUAAACAGCAUCACAGUCAGGAGGGAGCCAAGAGCUUGGCUCAGUAGCCUCCCAGGAGUGGGUUGGGCUCAUGUCUUCACAAGUAUUUUUUCUUUUAAUAUUACAGUGUUUAAGUAGGCAUCAUGGUGCAUACCUUUAAUCCCAGCACUUGGGAGGCAGAGGCAGGCAGAUCUCUGUGAGUUGAAAGGCAGUCUGUUCUUUAUAAUGUAUUCUAGGACAGCCAAGGCUAUUACAUAGAGAAACCCUGUCUUGAAAAAACAAACAACAGCAAAAAAUAAACAAGACAAAAUUGCAAUGUUAAUUGUGACAUAUUUCCAAACAUACAGAAACUAACAAAGGGGGCCACCUAUAUACCAUGAAAGUGAAUCAGAUGUUGACACCCCCCAUGUGCUCCAGCUUACACUUUUGUUUCAUUUGUUUUUAUUUACUUAUUUUAAUUAUAUAUAUAUUUGGGGACACACACAUGUGUAAGGGGAUCAGAGCACAACUUGCAGGAGUCAGUUCUCUCCUUCAGCUUGUUUUCGGCAGGGUCUCUCUUGUGUGUGAUGCUGUGUGUACUCCAGGUUAGCUAGCCUACAAGCUUCUAGACAAUUCUGUCUCUGUCUCCUUUCUUGCUGUAGGAGUGAUGAAAUUACAGACAUGGGCCACUACAGCCAGUGGUUUUAUGUGGUCUCCAGGCUUAGAUCAAACUGGGGCCAUAAGCUUGAGUGGCUGGCACCUUCACCCACUGAGCCAUCUACCCAGCCCAUUCUGGUCAUUAUGUAGCCAUCUGGCCUCAGAUUCGCAAUUCUCCUGCCUCAGCUUGCUGGAUGCUGGAAGUCUGUGGGCCACUAUGCCUCAUUCACUCUCUACCUUUCUAAGAAGGCAAAGUACUAGAAACAAAGAAAAGGCCCACCUAUCCCUUCCCUGCCUUGUCCCCAAAGACAAGAGUGACCAUGUUUUCAUGCCUAUGCAGAUGUUUGGGUUUUGAUUUUGUUUUUUAACUGUGCAUGACUUGAAAGAAGGUAAUUGUACAAAUUUCAAUCAUACAGACUGAUGGAUUUUUUACAUAUAAAUAUUCACGUAUAUAUCUCCAAAAUAAAAUGUAUAACAUGUCUAG